GUGGGGAAUUUUGGACAAUGGGGGCAACCCUGAUCCAGCAAUGCCGCGUGCAGGAAGAAGGCCUUCGGGUUGUAAACUGCUUUUGUACGGAACGAAAAGGCUCUGGUUGAUACCUGGGGCACAUGACGGUACCGUAAGAAUAAGCACCGGCUAACUACGUGCCAGCAGCCGCGGUAAUACGUAGGGUGCAAGCGUUAAUCGGAAUUACUGGGCGUAAAGCGUGCGCAGGCGGUGCUGUAAGACAGGCGUGAAAUCCCCGGGCUUAACCUGGGAAUGGCGCUUGUGACUGCAGUGCUGGAGUGUGGCAGAGGGGGAUGGAAUUCCGCGUGUAGCAGUGAAAUGCGUAGAUAUGCGGAGGAACACCGAUGGCGAAGGCAAUCCCCUGGGCCUGCACUGACGCUCAUGCACGAAAGCGUGGGGAGCAAACAGGAUUAGAAACCCUGGUAGUCC
rnacentral:rRNA from 1 species